rnacentral:rRNA from 1 species
GUCUACAGCCAUGCUACACUGAACAAGCCUGAUCCUGUCUGAUCUUGGAAGCUAAGUAGGGUUGGGCCUGGUUAUACUUGGAAGGGAGACCACCUAGGAAGACCAGGUGCCAUAGGCA